UGGGGAAUAUUGGACAAUGGGCGAAAGCCUGAUCCAGCCAUGCCGCGUGUGUGAAGAAGGUCUUCGGAUUGUAAAGCACUUUAAGUUGGGAGGAAGGGCAGUAAGCGAAUACCUUGCUGUUUUGACGUUACCGACAGAAUAAGCACCGGCUGACUCUGUGCCAGCAGCCGCGGUAAUACAGAGGGUGCAAGCGUUAAUCGGAAUUACUGGGCGUAAAGCGCGCGUAGGUGGUUCGUUAAGUUGAAUGUGAAAGCCCCGGGCUCAACCUGGGAACUGCAUCCAAAACUGGCGAGCUAGAGUAGGGCAGAGGGUGGUGGAAUUUCCUGUGUAGCGGUGAAAUGCGUAGAUAUAGGAAGGAACACCAGUGGCGAAGGCGACCACCUGGGCUCAUACUGACACUGAGGUGCGAAAGCGUGGGGAGCAAACAGG
rnacentral:rRNA from 1 species